GGCCCUUUCGGGGGUACACGAGUGGCGAACGGGUGAGUAACACGUGGGUGACCUGCCCUGUACUUCGGGAUAAGCCUGGGAAACUGGGUCUAAUACCGGAUAUGACCUUCUCCUGCAUGGGGGUUGGUGGAAAGUUUUUGCGGUACAGGAUGGGCCCGCGGCCUAUCAGCUUGUUGGUGGGGUAAUGGCCUACCAAGGCGACGACGGGUAGCCGGCCUGAGAGGGCGACCGGCCACACUGGGACUGAGACACGGCCCAGACUCCUACGGGAGGCAGCAGUGGGGAAUAUUGCACAAUGGGCGAAAGCCUGAUGCAGCGACGCCGCGUGAGGGAUGACGGCCUUCGGGUUGUAAACCUCUUUCAGUAGGGACGAAGCGCAAGUGACGGUACCUACAGAAGAAGCACCGGCCAACUACGUGCCAGCAGCCGCGGUAAUACGUAGGGUGCGAGCGUUGUCCGGAUUUACUGGGCGUAAAGAGCUCGUAGGCGGUUUGUCACGUCGUCUGUGAAAACCCGAGGCUUAACCUCGGGCCUGCAGGCGAUACGGGCAGACUUGAGUACUGUAGGGGAGACUGGAAUUCCUGGUGUAGCGGUGGAAUGCGCAGAUAUCAGGAGGAACACCGGUGGCGAAGGCGGGUCUCUGGGCAGUAACUGACGCUGAGGAGCGAAAGCGUGGGUAGCGAACAGGAUUAGAUACCCUGGUAGUCCACGCCGUAAACGGUGGGUACUAGGUGUGGGUUUCCUUCCACGGGAUCCGUGCCGUAGCU
rnacentral:rRNA from 1 species